GAUGAACGCUGGCGGCGUGCCUAAUACAUGCAAGUCGAGCGAAGCGGGGACGGGUGAGUAACACGUGGCUAACCUCCUAUAAGACUGGGAUAACUUCGGGAAACCGGAGCUAAACCGGAUCCUUAUAGAUGGAUCUGCGCUGCAUUAGCUAGUUGGUAAGGUAACGGCUUACCAAGGCGACGAUGCAUAGCCGACCUGUGAGGGUGAUCAGCAACACUGGAACUUAGCCACGGUCCAGACUCCUACGGGAGGCAGCAGUAGGGAAUCUUCCGCAAUGGGCGAAAGCCUGACGGAGCAACGCCGCGUGAGUGAUGAAGGUCUUCGGAUCGUAAAGCUCUUUUAUUUGGGAAGCGGUACCUAAUCAGAAAGCCACGGCUAACUACGUGCCAGCAGCCGCGGUAAUUC
rnacentral:rRNA from 1 species